UGGGCACCUGCAGCAGCAAGAGCUCAGGAAYGAGGCCGAAGCAGGAGGCGGUGACGCCUGUGAAGCUGGGGGACCUGCUUGGCCACGUGUUUCCUUAGAUCCCAUUGGGGCUUUGCAGGAGGGACAAGCYGCAACCGGGAUGAUCCGGCUGCGGAGCGGGAUGUGGCUGCUGCUGUGAGCGCCGCCGCAUCCCCACGAGCGGGCGCACAGUCCCCUCUAGCGGAGGCUUCUCCASUGUCGGUGUUGGCUGCACGGGGACCGAGGACCGUGACGGCCGGGUGCCAUCCGUGUGGGAAGGGGAUGUGAUGGCCUGGAUCAAUGCAAUGUGUGGCUUGUCCCAGCUGCAGAGCUGGGAAGCCCGGCACGCAAUGGAUGUCUGCGCCUUGCGCUCCUCAGGACGCUCGGCAUCGGGAUGUGCCAAGGUCACUGUGACCUUCCUCCGUCCUCUCCACCUGCCUCGGAGCUGUGUGUCAGCUGGAAUAUAUAGGAUAUCUGCAGGCUGGGGCAGGUUGGGGCUACAGUUUCCAGAAAAAGAGGAAUGCCUGGGAGUGCAGGGAAGAGCAGGAGCAGCCCUUGGGCCCUGGUUCYGCAGCAGCUCCCGCUCCCCUUGCCAUCCAGGCCCUGGGAUGCUGCUCCUCUGCAUUGCUCCAUUUCUCACAGGGYCGCACAGCCCCAGCCUCUCCUGUUAUCCCUGCUGAGCUGUUAUUUAUUAUCCCAAGGUUUUGCAGGAAUCUGGUUGCUAAGUGAAUCCCACCCCCACC